CUGUCUGAUGAUGAAACCAAUUACUUUCGUUCUUCUGAUGUGCUAUCUCAUGGUACAGUGCGGAAGCAAUUUUCAGACCUGAACUGAGGAAGU
rnacentral:snoRNA from 3 species